rnacentral:rRNA from 1 species
ACGAACGCUGGCGGCGUGCUUAACACAUGCAAGUCGAACGAAGAGCGAUGGAAGCUUGCUUCUAUCAAUCUUAGUGGCGAACGGGUGAGUAACGCGUAAUCAACCUGCCCUUCAGAGGGGGACAACAGUUGGAAACGACUGCUAAUACCGCAUACGAUCUAACCUCGGCAUCGAGGAUAGAUGAAAGGUGGCCUCUACAUGUAAGCUAUCACUGAAGGAGGGGAUUGCGUCUGAUUAGCUAGUGGGAGGGGUAACGGCCCACCAAGGCGAUGAUCAGUAGCCGGUCCGAGAGGAUGAACGGCCACAUUGGGACUGAGACACGGCCCAGACUCCUACGGGAGGCAGCAGUGGGGAAUCUUCCGCAAUGGACGAAAGUCUGACGGAGCAACGCCGCGUGAGUGAUGACGGCCUUCGGGUUGUAAAGCUCUGUUAAUCGGGACGAAAGGCCUUCUUGCGAAUAGUGAGAAGGAUUGACGGUACCGGAAUAGAAAGCCACGGCUAACUACGUG